GAUGAACGCUGGCGGCGUGCCUAAUACAUGCAAGUCGAGCGAACGGACGAGAAGCUUGCUUUUCUGAUGUUAGCGGCGGACGGGUGAGUAACACGUGGAUAACCUACCUAUAAGACUGGGAUAACUUUGGGAAACCGGAGCUAAUACCGGAUAAUAUUUUGAACCGCAUGGUUCAAAAGUGAAAGACGGUCUUGCUGUCACUUAUAGAUGGAUCCGCGCUGCAUUAGCUAGUUGGUAAGGUAACGGCUUACCAAGGCAACGAUGCAUAGCCGACCUGAGAGGGAGAUCGGCCACACUGGAACAGAGAAACAGCCCAGACUCCUACGGGAGGCAGCAGUAGGGAAUCUUCCGCGAUGGGGGAAAGCCUGACGGAGCAACGCCGCGUGAGUGAUGACGGUCUUCGGAUCGUAAAACUCUGUUAUUAGGGAAGAACAAAUGUGUAAGUACCUGUGCACAUCUUGACGGUACCUAAUCAGAAAGCCACGGCUAACUACGUG
rnacentral:rRNA from 1 species